GCCCGUAAUCAGAAUGGGCCGAUGUUUGUGCCCGCCAGACGUUCUGAAAAGCAAUACUGGGAGCCAUGGUGGAAAGAAAUAAGGUGAGGCAAUGCUCGUGACGAGUUUCGUUUCGUUCUGCGCAUCCCAGGUUUGGUGGGGGAUCCGCACAGUUUCCGCCAUCUUUUUUUCGAUAACCUAAAAGUUGUUUACUUCAAGCGUUCUUUGAAAACUGUCACUGCUAUCGUGAUUGAGUAAUGAAUAUGAAUAUAUAUUGAAGGGAAUAAAAGUUUGGUGAAGAGCAUCGUCAAGUCUCUUGGCGCGGCAGAGACGGAGCUGAACGUAUCGAGACGGACGACUCGCGUUGUGGGCACGGGCGUGCGGACGGUGAAUCUUCUACGUGGAAUAAUAAGAGGUAAUCCAACAAGAGAUUUAGGAUCGCUGGAUAACUCGGAAUAUAUAAUGAUGUUAUCGAGAGGGGGCUUGAUGUACCCCUCUGAAGAAUUCCUCAAGGUGGCAAACAUCAUGGACGAUGUAUUUGAAAAAUUCCACGGGCCGAAUCAACUAAAACUAAAAACAAAAUAUAUUUUUCGAAAAGUGGCAGAUCUUGUAAUGGAGAAAUAUGACUCCAUUCCUCGUGAUGCUCUUUUGUGUUUGGUGCGUACAAGAACGUACAUCAGGCUCAGGAAAUGGAAUAUACAAAUUCGAGAAGAAGAUAGGUUUAAGAAAACAGCAAAAAAGUAGAAAAGAGAAAAAAUUAAGAAAAUAUGUAAUAAAACUGUUAACUAGAAAUUAAUGGUUUUUUUCCAUAGAACUUCGAAUGACAUCCUUAUCCACUUUCAUUGUUUUCUAAUUUUAAUUUAUUUUUCCCAUAAACAUAUGAUUUAGAAUAAAAUAUCAAGAGGGGAUUCACCUUUUAUAGGGUCAAUUUUCAGUAAUUUGUUUUUUUGGGGGGGAAAGGUAUUUUAUAUUUUUGGCAUUGGAUUUCGGAAAAAUGAUCAUUUAUUUUUCAAUAAUUAUGACAUUUUUAUUAUUACA